UGCAGUCGAGCGCACCUUCGGGUGAGCGGCGGACGGGUUAGUAACGCGUGGGAACAUACCCUUUGGUACGGAAUAGCCUCUGGAAACGGAGAGUAAUACCGUAUGAGCCCUUCGGGGGAAAGAUUUAUCGCCAAAGGAUUGGCCCGCGUUAGAUUAGGUAGUUGGUGGGGUAAUGGCCUACCAAGCCUACGAUCUAUAGCUGGUUUUAGAGGAUGAUCAGCAACACUGGGACUGAGACACGGCCCAGACUCCUACGGGAGGCAGCAGUGGGGAAUCUUGGACAAUGGGGGCAACCCUGAUCCAGCCAUGCCGCGUGAGUGAUGAAGGCCUUAGGGUCGUAAAGCUCUUUCGCCUGUGAAGAUAAUGACGGUAGCAGGUAAAGAAACCCCGGCUAACUCCGUGCCAGCAGCCGCGGUAAUACGGAGGGGGUUAGCGUUGUUCGGAAUUACUGGGCGUAAAGCGCACGUAGGCGGACUGGAAAGUAUGGGGUGAAAUCCCAGGGCUCAACCCUGGAACUGCCUCAUAAACUAUCAGUCUAGAGUUCGAGAGAGGUGAGUGGAAUUCCGAGUGUAGAGGUGAAAUUCGUAGAUAUUCGGAGGAACACCAGUGGCGAAGGCGGCUCACUGGCUCGAUACUGACGCUGAGGUGCGAAAGUGUGGGGAGCAAACAGGAUUAGAUACCCUGGUAGUCCACACCGUAAACGAUGAAUGCCAGUCGUCGGGUAGCAUGCUAUUCGGUGACACACCUAACGGAUUAAGCAUUCCGCCUGGGGAGUACGGUCGCAAGAUUAAAACUUAAAGGAAUUGAC
rnacentral:rRNA from 1 species